rnacentral:misc_RNA from 1 species
GCAAACUUGGUCAUUUAGAGGAAGUAAAAGUCGUAACAAGGUUUCCGUAGGUGAACCUGCGGAAGGAUCAUUAACAAGUCCGUCCCUGCGUGUGGGACAUUUGUUCCGUGUGCAUGUCACGUGCACAUUGAUACAUUUCUGUCGAUCGUCUGAUUGUCGUUGACCAACUACGAAUGACUUUUAACAAUGGAUCUCUAGGCUCCUUCAGAUGUGUAUAAGAGACAGGCAAACUUGGUCAUUUAGAGGAAGUAAAAGUCGUAACAAGGUUUCCGUAGGUGAACCUGCGGAAGGAUCAUUAACAAGUCCGUCCCUGCGUGUGGGACAUUUGUUCCGUGUGCAUGUCACGUGCACAUUGAUACAUUUCUGUCGAUCGUCUGAUUGUCGUUGACCAACUACGAAUGACUUUUAACAAUGGAUCUCUAGGCUCCUGCAUCGAUGAAGAACGCAGC